rnacentral:lncRNA from 1 species
GCCUGCAAAUACAAGAAUAAAGCAGGCAUCAGCAUUUGUGUAGUUAUAACAAACAAUUAACAAAACACAUGCCUAGAAAUUCUAUAGCAUCAAAAGGUAAAACCAAGCCAGUACGUGACAGAAAAUAGAACCAUUUUCAAAUUGUCAUUAACUCAUUAUGAUAAUUGUCUUCAUAAAAAACUUGUAAUCCAAUGUCUAAAGAUUUCAUAGUAAGAAAAUAAAACAAGCUAGUACAUGACAGAAAAUUGAAUCAUUGUCAAAUUGUCAUUCUGAUAAUUGUCUUUGUAAAAAAACUUGAAAUUCAAUAUCAUAGUAAGAAAAUAAACCAAAAUAAAGCAGGCAUCAGCAUUUGUGUAGUUAUAACAAACAAUUAACAAAACACAUGCCUAGAAAUUCUAUAGCAUCAAAAGGUAAAACCAAGCCAGUACGUGACAGAAAAUAGAACCAUUUUCAAAUUGUCAUUAACUCAUUAUGAUAAUUGUCUUCAUAAAAAACUUGUAAUCCAAUGUCUACAGAUUUCAUAGUAAGAAAAUAAAACAAGCUAGUACAUGACAGAAAAUUGAAUCAUUGUCAAAUUGUCAUUCUGAUAAUUGUCUUUGUAAAAAAACUUGAAAUUAAAUAUCAUAGUAAGAAAAUAAACCAAACCUAUAAACA